UGUCUUCCUCCUCCUCUGCUUCCUUUUCCUUAUGGAGGAUUUUUCUUACGUAUCAAUCCAACAAUAAGGGUUUAUAGGAUGCCGAGUAUAUAUGGUUUUCCCUUUUAAUCCUCGAAACCUUUUGGUCUGGGGGAAGGGUGUUAAUUUGGAAUUAGGAUUGAUGGGUAGCCCCUGAAAUCGGGGUUUUUUUUAAAAUUUUUUGGUGAAUUUUUGGGGUAAUUUUUGAGGUGGGUCUAUGGAGAGGGAGGAGAAAGUGUCCAUGGAGCUCGCCGACGAGGUCAUCAAGAGCAUGGAGGUUGGCAUGGCCUUCCGAGAUUACAACGGUAGGAUCAGCUCCAUGGAUUAUCACAGCAGGGCUAGUAAUUUCCUGGUGACGGCCAGUGAUGAUGAAUCGAUUCGCCUCUACGAUGUUCAGAAUGCUGUGUGUCUGAAGACCAUUAAUAGCAAGAAGUAUGGGGUUGAUCUGGUCUGCUUCACUGAUAGUCCGAGCAUAGUUAUAUACUCCUCAAAAAAUGGUUGGGAUGAAUCUUUGCGGCUUCUUUCUCUGAAUGAUAACAAGUACUUGCGGUACUUUAAGGGCCACCAUGACAGGGUUGUUUCUCUAUCUUUGUGCCCUAGAAAGGAGUAUUUUAUCUCUGGAUCGAUUGAUCGGACUGUUCUGUUAUGGGACCAAAGGGCUGAGAGGGCUCAGGGCCUUUUACGGGUGCAAGGUAGGCCGGCGGUAUCUUUUGAUGAUCAAGGCUUGGUUUUCGCAAUUGCAUAUGGAGGGCGUAUACGGAUGUUCGAUUCUCGGAAGUAUGAUAAGGGACCUUUUGAUGUUUUUUCUGUCGGGGGGGAUGAUUCAGAAGCCAAUGUCAUAAAAUUUAGCAACGAUGGCAAGCUUAUGCUGUUGACUACCAAAGAUGGGCAUGUCCACGUGCUUGAUUCCUUCCGUGGAAACACUAUAUCCACUUAUAAUGUCAAGCCGGUUUCGAGCUAUGCUACAUUGGAGGCAUCUUUUAGUCCCGAUGGAACUCAUGUUAUAUCAGGUUCUGGGGAUGGCAGUGUUUAUGCUUGGAAUGUUAGAGGUGGCAAGGUUGCAUGUUGGGGAAGCACCGAUACAGAGCCGCCACUAAUUAAAUGGGCUCCUGGGUGCCUCAUGUUCACGACUGGAUCAUCUGAAUUAUCCUUCUGGGUUCCCGACUUGUCCAAGCUGGGCUCAUUUGCUGGAAUAAAGUAGAAAGAGAGAGUCUAGGGUUUGGGGAGAAAGGUGCAAAUAUUACCACAGUACGCGGACUAUCCAUGCUUUCUUCUGCACCAAUUCUCUGAAUCGCCUCCAUGAGUGGGAAAAUUGUGUGGCGAUAUUAUUCUUUCCUUAAUUGUGAAAGAAAUAGGUGCAUUAUGUAUGGAAUUGUCACUGAAUUCUUCCUUCUUCUCCGGUAGUAGUCGGUUCCAUUCACAAAAACGAUCUUCUGUAGAUAUCGAAAUUGUUGGAAGCGGUUAAAGUAUAUUCUUCACUCUGCAUGUCCUGUGUGUGUCACUGUUCUUGGCCAUUUGGAGGGGCUGCUACAGGUAAAAGAGUCGAAGUUGAGGGGGCAUGGGGCUCGUGGACGACGGUGUUGGACGAGAUGAAGA